AUAAAGUCAGAAAACAAAAUGUCACGAAAUGCCCGGGGCACCUCACAAUCACCAGCCCAUAAGGUAUUCCUGGAGUGACUGGCCAAAUAGAAUUGGGCUUUCGAUGGACAAUUUGUGUCUCGAGUUAUAAUUUGUAAGAUUUGUCAAAUUUUGGAUUUUAUUAAGUAGAAAAUUAUCUAGCGAACUCAGAUAAUUUCGGUAGGUUUUCAUUAGAGUGCACAACAAAAGUGUGGUGAGUUAAGUUAUUUUGAAUUUGGUAAAAAAUAUUAACUCGAAGUU
rnacentral:lncRNA from 1 species